rnacentral:rRNA from 1 species
UGCUUUUUGCAUCUAAAUAAAAAGUAAUCUCCUGCCCAGUGAAUAUUUUCAACGGCCGCGGUAUCCUAACCGUGCAAAGGUAGCAUAAUCACUUGCCUAUUAAUUGUAGGCUAGAAUGAAAGGGGUAACGAAAUAAGAACUAUCUUAAUUAAUCAUAUAAAAACUUAUAUUUAAGUGAAGAAGCUUAAAUAAAAUAAUAGGACAAGAAGACCCUAUAGAGCUUUAGUAAAAUAAUAUAAUAUAUUAAUUCACUUCGGUUGGGGCGACCCAGGAUAAUUCAUCCUGUAAAACAAAGAUAUAUAUAUCUAACAAUAUUGAACCUAAAUAGAUCACAGAUCAAGCUACCUUAGGGAUAACAGGCUAAUCUCACCUUAGAGCUCAUAUCCAAGGUGAGGAUUGGCACCUCGAUGUUGGCUUAGAGAAUCAAAUUGGCGCAGUAGUCAAUGUAUGAAGGUUUGUUCAACCUAUAAUUCUC